rnacentral:rRNA from 1 species
GACGAAAGCUGGCGGCGUGCUUAACACAUGCAAGUCGAACGGAAAGGCCCUGCUUUUGUGGGGUGCUCGAGUGGCGAACGGGUGAGUAACACGUGAGUAACCUGCCCUUGACUUUGGGAUAACUUCAGGAAACUGGGGCUAAUACCGGAUAGGAGCUCCUGCUGCAUGGUGGGGGUUGGAAAGUUUCGGCGGUUGGGGAUGGACUCGCGGCUUAUCAGCUUGUUGGUGGGGUAGUGGCUUACCAAGGCUUUGACGGGUAGCCGGCCUGAGAGGGUGAUCGGCCACAUUGGGACUGAGAUACGGCCCAGACUCCUACGGGAGGCAGCAGUGGGGAAUAUUGCACAAUGGGCGGAAGCCUGAUGCAGCAACGCCGCGUGCGGGAUGACGGCCUUCGGGUUGUAAACCGCUUUCGCCUGUGACGAAGCGUGAGUGACGGUAAUGGGUAAAGAAGCACCGGCUAACUACGUG